GCUUAUCUGUUCGCUGGAGGCCGUCUAUAAAUACAAGCUAGGGAAGGAAAAAAGGGAGGAGACAGCCGGAGGUAUCGCAUCGCAUCUAACCAGACGCAGCAGCCGGAGAGCAAGACAGAGAGAAAAAAAGAGAAUACUCGCACGGGAGCAGAAGCCCAGCUCAAAACACAUCCAAUCUCCAUACAUCCAUCCAAGAGGAGCAAGACCGGACGAGCCUUCAUGGAGGCGAAGUUGAGCUUUCCUAACGGUGAGAAUCAUGGUCGACGGAACCAAUCUCCUUCACCCCUUUUCUCUAUCUAGCACACACAUGCAGCCUCGCGCUUGCCUGGCAUGGCCGCCGCCUCGCCAUCGCCUUGCAUGGACGCCGACGAUGAGGAAGUACUAGCACUGGAGCUGCGGGCGCGCAGCCCAUCGCCUUCUUCACCAACACGAACCGGCCAAGACGACGAUGCCGGAGUUGCAAGCGUGCAGCCCGCGGCCAUCUCGACCAACAUGAAAUAGCCAAGACGGCGACGCCGGAGCUGCCAGCGUGCAGCCCGCGGCCAUCUCCACCAACAUGAACCGGCCUAGACGGCGACGCCGAGGCGCUGCAGGUGUGCAGCCCAUCGCCACUGGCUUCAUCCGAGCCUGUUGGACUAACAUGGUCAUGGUGUUCGGGGGUGCGGCGCGGUGCCAGGUGCAGCGGGCAACGCGGCGAUAUAGGUCCAGCUCGGCGCUUGACGUACAGGUGCAGCGGGCAACGCGGCGAUAUAGGUCCAGCUCGGCGCUUGACGUACAGGUGCAGCGGGCGACGCGACAAUAUAGGUGCAUCUCGGCGCUGGCGGACAGGAGCAGCUCGGCGGUGACCGAUAGGCACGGCUCGAUUGAUGGUGCGCAGCCCAGCGAACACCCAAAAACAAGCCGGCGUACAGGUUCAGAGCGGCGCUUGAGGUGCAAACCGGCGUACAGGCGCAGCAACGGCGUACAAACAGCUCCGCAAUCAGGCUCCUCGACGCAGUCUCGGCGUCCGGCGUACAGAGUAACUCAGUCAUGGCUGUAGGGCGGAGUACAGGCUCAACGGUGUACAGGUUCCUCGACGUACAGUUAAAGGAGUUGGCGCGGUGGCCGGGUUGCUAAUGGCAUCUCGUGUUGGUGCCGGCGCCACACUCUACCAUGGCUGGAUAGAUGUAACGCCUGGUUUGGACUAUACACUCCACACCACUAGAUAUUGCCGCCCCCAAGGCUCUGCAGGGAGCCUCACGACAUCGCUGGCAAACCUCAAUGUCAUCGAGAUAAGAACGACAAUGGAGCACACCAACUAGGUCGUGGCUACGCGGAGAUGCCAGGGCCCACGAAGCCUUGAUCGGGCCAACUCAGUCGCCAUUGGACGGAGAAACAAUAUAAUCAUGCUAAGUCGUCAAGAAGUCCUAACUAAACGGACCGCGUCAUGCUACUUCAACAACACUCAUCAUAGUUCUCAAAAAAAAAACAACACUCAUCAUCGCCGCUCAAGACCGACGAGGCGCGACGGCGAGGGCGAGCAAGGCUGCAGCACAGGCCACGCUUACAGCGGCGCGUGUACCAACGAGGACACGGGCUCUGCCGCUGCCCACACACAUCUUCACCACAAUCAUGCAUGCAGGACGUGAAGCGAAGACGGCGAAGACGACCAUACGGCUUAAUCGAAGGUGUCUCACGGCGUAACCCGUGGGAGUAAUUAACCGCGAGCCUUUCGAGGUCUCGGGAAUCAGGAGACUGCAAUCGCCCUAGUGAGGCUGGCCGCGCUAGUAGGCCACGGAGCGCAACACAUAUGGGAGUUGUAUUUGUUAUCUCAAAGAUUAAUGAAAUACUGUUCCCCCAUCUUUGUGGUUUCUUUGUGUAUCAUUAUACACUGGCACGCCUGCACUUUUUUUUUCCUUUUACCGAUCUCCGGUGCGCAUGAGAGAAACCACGCUCUUCCGUCCUACUCGCGAGAGUCGUGUUGUACGUUUUUCUCGUGUCAAACAAAAGCAUGCGACAACUCAUGCCGUGUUGUAAUCUCCAGUGUUCUUUCGGGUUUCUUGUGUGUACUAGAAUGGUUUGUAAAUCUCCGGUCUUCUUCUUUCAUUUUUGUACGUGUGUAGUGUACUAGAAGGGUUUGUUGAUUGUACUCCUUCCGUUUCAUAUUAUAUCCUUUUUAGCACACUACUUUAGUAUGCUAAAAGACUUA